UGCAAGUCGAGCGAACAGACGAGGAGCUUGCUCCUUUGACGUUAGCGGCGGACGGGUGAGUAACACGUGGGUAACCUACCUAUAAGACUGGGAUAACUUCGGGAAACCGGAGCUAAUACCGGAUAAUAUUUCGAACCGCAUGGUUCGAUAGUGAAAGAUGGCUUGCUAUCACUUAUAGAUGGACCUGCGCCGUAUUAGCUAGUUGGUAAGGUAACGGCUUACCAAGGCAACGAUACGUAGCCGACCUGAGAGGGUGAUCGGCCACUU
rnacentral:rRNA from 1 species